UACGUAGGUGACCAGCGUUGUCCGGAUUUACUGGGCGUAAAGAGCGCGCAGGCGGCUGGUCAAGUCCGAUGUGAAAUCUCCCGGCUCAACUGGGAAACUGCAUCGGAAACUGAUCGGCUUGAAGAUGGGAGAGGGUAGUGGAAUUCCCGGUGUAGUGGUGAAAUGCGUAGAUAUCGGGAGGAACACCAGUGGCGAAGGCGACUACCUGGCCCAUUCUUGACGCUGAGGCGCGAAAGCUAGGGGAGCGAACGGG
rnacentral:rRNA from 1 species